CAGCCGCCACGGUAAAACGAAGGGUGCAAGCGUUAAUCGGAAUUACUAGGCGUAAAGCGUGCGUAGGCGGUUUGUUAAGUCUGUUGUGAAAUCCCCGGGCUCAACCUGGGAAUGGCAAUGGAUACUGGCAAGCUAGAGUGUGUCAGAGGAUGGUGGAAUUCCCGGUGUAGCGGUGAAAUGCGUAGUGAUCGGGAGGAACAUCAGUGGCGAAGGCGGCCAUCUGGGACAACACUGACGCUGAGGCACGAAAGCGUGGGGAGCAAACAGGAUUAGAGACCCCCGUAGUCCCUGUCUCUUAUCC
rnacentral:rRNA from 1 species